AAACCAAAACCAAGUAACUGAACAAUAGGAAUUCAAGCCCAGGGCUAACAAACUUGCCCCAGCUUCUAACCGAAAACAAAGUCUGAAAAGUUGCUGACACUUUUCACUUCAAUAUAAAGAACGUUGUUUGUAUUUGUGGCCUAAGAUAGCUGAGGUCUUCUGGGAAACACGAGUUCAGGUCUCUGCUAGCAACCCAAUGGAGUCUGAACUGAUUCAUUAGAACCUUUGGUAUGGCGCUUGGCACUAGAAGGUGCCUGUGGAUGUGUCUCUCCUCUGGAUUCUCCUUUCCUUAACAGCAAGAACCACUGAAUCAACAGAUAAACUUGGGUCACUAUGAUUACAACCUGGAGCAGAUCAGCAGAAGUUUAUAUCCUCUAGAGUAAAUCCCUGUGCUCUGGGAAAAGAGAGGAAAAGAAGAGAUCCAGAAGACCUCUGAUGGAUCAGAUUCUGUCCAUUAGCAGAGACAGUCAAAUAACAGAGGUAAGAAAAAACUAACACUUGGACACAUUAUAAUGCAAUUUUAAAACUACUAACAUAAUGAGGAAAUUCUAAAAUCUUACUGAGAAAAAGAGAUUAUUAACAACUGAAGAUCAAGAACCAUGACAGUUUACUUCUGCACAGCAAGACUAGAUGCAAAUGACAAUAUUACUUACAAUGACAUAAUAUUGUUAAAGUACAGAGGGGAAAAAAAAAACUGAACCUAUCAUUUUAAAUCCCGCCAAACUGUCAUUCAAAUACUGUACCAUAACAAAAAUAUCCUCAGACCUUCAAGGCCUCACAUUAAAAUUGCUCUUAGAGGAAGUAAUCAAAUGAAAAGGGUUACCUGGGAGGAUGUGGCAAAAAAGAAAAAAUCCAAACAAAAGGUCAUCAAAUACCUAAGUCAAAGUAAUUAUAAGAAUUAUAACCAAAAAAACUAGAGCAAAAAGAGAAAAUUCAUUCAUAACAACUCAGAACAAAAUAUUUAAAUAUAUCAACACAUUGUACAAAUCCAAGGGACAUCAUUGACAUUCCAUUGUAUUUAAUUUUGUGAUCUGUAACUCCAGAUGAAAUCAAAGGGAAAUUUAAUUGUACAAGGGUUUUUGUCACAUAGAGAGGAAAAUACAGGAUGACAUCCUUUAUCUGAACUGUUUAGGACAGGAAGUAUUUUCAAUUUCAGAUUUUUUGGAAUAUUUGCAUAUACAUGAGAUAUCUUACAGGUGAGACCGAAGUCUAAAGAGUAAAGUCAUUUAUAUUUCAUCUACCCUAUAUAUACAUAGGAUGAGGAUGACUUUAUACAACGUUUUUAUGUAAUGUUUUGACUGCAACUUGUCACAUGAGGUAAAGUAUGGAAUUUUCUACUUGUGGUGUCGUGUCAACAUCCAAAAACGUUUAUGAUUUUGAAGCAUUUUGGAUCUUGGCUUUUUAGAUCAGGGACGCUCAUCCUGUACAGCUGUAGAUAAAUUUAAGAAAUCAAUAGCAGGAAAUAAUCAUAAGUAUAGACUUAAAGUAACGGGCAACCACCACUUUUGCCCAACUAUCAAAACAGAAAUACAGUGUUUUAUUUUUAAACCAGCUAAAUAAAACUGGACCUUCCUGUGGAAAAUGAGAAAGGAGUAUAUUAAGAAAUACAAUGAACAGAAAACAGAAAUAAGGGGACAGUUGUUUGAAUAGCACAGUAAUCAUAAUGAAUAUAAAAAGAGUAAGCUUAUCAGUAAAGAGACACAGAUUUCUGAACUGAAUUUAAAUACUUUAACAAUCCAACAAUGUGAUGUUAUAAUUGAAAGAAACACAGGAUAUUUGCCAGUGAAAGACUGAAGUAACUUUGGUUCUAAAACUAGGUAAGGUCAACAUAAGAAAAUUAUAGGCCAUUUAAUAUGAAGCAUAAAUUCAAAAAUCCCAAAUAUUAGUUUGCAGAAUUCAAUAGCAUACUAAGAAAUAAUAAUAGAUAAUUAUAACAAUAUGUAAGAUUCAACCCUGGAACACUAGGAUAGUCUACUCUUAAAAAAUCUAUCAAUAUAAUCCACCAUUCUGAUGAACUGUGAAUAAAAUCUAUUAAAUUACUUCAAUUAAAGCCUAAACACUUGAUAAAGCCCAAAAUGCAUUUAUAAUUUCAGAUACAUAACUCUUAAAAAAUAGAACUAGGGGGAAAUUUCCUUAGCUUGACAAAGUACAUACCAAAAAUCUACAGUGAUAUUAGAUAGAAUGGAGAAAUUAUAAACAGAUUCCUUUAAAGAAUAAUUGUCCUAUUGCAUUAUGUGAUUAAUUCCAAACAUUUCUGUCUAUAAUGUUCAGAAUCACAUGUAUUAAACAGACACCAAAUAAACAUAUAAACUGCGCAUGUAAUUAUGCCAUAUACUAUUUUAGGGUUUAGGGAGGUAGCAAUAAACAAAACAUAAAUUGUGUGCAUCACAUAGUCUGAUAACUGGUGUUGUGUAGACAGGAAAUCCGUAUAACCUUUUGAUAAAUGAUUUGUCAUCAAUGCAGAUGUGGACAGACUAGAGCAGUGUGGCCAACCUAUGGCACACUUGCCACAGUGUCAUGCAGAGCCCUCUCUAUUAGCACAUGAGGCAAGUCACCCCAGUAGCCAGGCAUCAGAUAAGAGUCUAAACUAAAACCUUAUUAUUCAGGUUUAAUUGCAGUAUUGGCACUUUGUGCUAAAUAAGUAGAUUUGGGGUUGCAGUUUGGGCACCUGGUCUCUGAAAGGUUCGCCAUCAGUGGACUAGAGCAUAGAAAAAUUGAUGGCCUACAGGUUUAACAAUCAGGUCAGAAAUGAAGGGUAAGUGUUAAAGUCAGAUCUGUAAAGAGAAUUUCCUGACCUUAGAGCUGGGAGCAGACAGGAGGACCAGUGGGAUUUUAAAGAGUGACUAUGAAUCCAAUGUACCAUACAUACAAACAUUUUCUGUGGGAGAUAGACUGUAGAGUUUGUGAGAGUCCCAAGUUAAGAAUCACUAUUUCUUUUAGAGAAGUACUGUGAUUUCAAAAUUUUAAAUAUAUGAAAGAAAAAUUGCUUAAUUCCAGCUAGAACAAUAAUGGGUUCCAAGACAAAAUGGGUAAUCCACAGGUAAAAUAUCAAACUCCAUUGCUGACUACAGGAAAUUUCACAUUCCUUUACAGAUGGAGUAAGUUAAAUCCAUUUCUCAUUUCUCUAUCCAGUCUAUAUCAUUUUACCCUUUCGCUAUAAGUUCCCUCUAGGGGCGGCAACACAGGAUAGUAAAGAAAUUAUUUAGAGUCAGAGAGCCUAGUUUGCAAUCUAGCAGCACUGCAAGCCCUGGAGCUUUGUGCAAGUUGUUUAGGCUCUCCUACCUGUACUAUCUUCCUCCUCCAAAUUGAAAUUAAUAGUGAUAAUUAUUGCAAUGAUUAAAUAUAAUAGCCUAGGGUUUUCUCUUUUGUUGUUUUUUUUUGUUUGUUUGUUUGUUUCCAGUACCAGGAAUCAAACUCACAACGUCGCCCU